AUUUUUCUUAUUUACAUUUUUGAAAUAACGCUCGUCGUGUUUGUUUUACGACACAUAACGAUAGUCCGACAAAGUUUAUAUUUUCCUAAAUUAAUAUUUACUUCGUGUAGACUUUAGUUGCAGAUCCCGCUAGAUCCCGCGUUCUUUUCUUUUUCGUCUUGUAGUCUAUACUAUUAGCAACUAAAAUUCACAAUAAUUAGCUGCUACUAUCUGCUACUCUUGUUAUAAGGUUAUUACAACCACCUUAUUACUUUUCUCGAUAUAUCUCGAAAAGUAUUCGAAAUAUCAAAAAA